rnacentral:rRNA from 1 species
UACGUAGGGUGCGAGCGUUGUCCGGAAUUAUUGGGCGUAAAGAGCUCGUAGGCGGCUUGUCGCGUCGGAUGUGAAAGCCCGGGGCUUAACUCCGGGUCUGCAUUCGAUACGGGCAGGCUAGAGUUCGGUAGGGGAGAUCGGAAUUCCUGGUGUAGCGGUGAAAUGCGUAGAUAUCAGGAGGAAUACCGAUGGCGAAGGCAGGUCUCUGGGCUGACACUGACGCUCAUGCACGAAAGCGUGGGGAGCAAACAGG